UACGUAGGGGGCUAGCGUUGUCCGGAUUUAUUGGGCGUAAAGAGCGUGUAGGCGGCCAGGUAGGUCUGGUGUGAAAACUCGAGGCUUAACCUCGAGAUGUCAUCGGAAACCAUCUGGCUAGAGUCCGGAAGAGGAGAGUGGAAUUCCUGGUGUAGCGGUGAAAUGCGCAGAUAUCAGGAAGAACACCAAUGGCGAAAGCAGCUCUCUGGGACGGUACUGACGCUGAGACGCGAAAGCGGGGGGGAGCGAACAGG
rnacentral:rRNA from 1 species